rnacentral:rRNA from 1 species
CCAGGGCUACACACGUACUACAAUGGUAGGGACAGAGGGCUGCAAACCCGCGAGGGUAAGCCAAUCCCAGAAACCCUAUCUCAGUCCGGAUUGGAGUCUGCAACUCGACUCCAUGAAGUCGGAAUCGCUAGUAAUCGCAGAUCAGCAUUGCUGCGGUGAAUACGUUCCCGGGCCUUGUACACACCGCCCGUCACACCAUGGGAGUUUGUUGCACCAGAAGCAGGUAGCUUAACCUUCGGGAGGGCGCUUGCCACGGUGUGGCCGAUGACUGGGGUGAAGUCGUAACAAGGUAGCCGUAUCGGAAGGUGCGGCUGGAUCACCUCCUUU